rnacentral:rRNA from 1 species
AACGAACGCUGGCGGCAGGCCUAACACAUGCAAGUCGAGCGGACCCUUCGGGGUUAGCGGCGGACGGGUGAGUAACGCGUGGGAAUAUGCCCUUCUCUACGGAAUAGUCCUGGGAAACUGGGGGUAAUACCGUAUACGCCCUUUGGGGGAAAGAUUUAUCGGGGAAGGAUUAGCCCGCGUUGGAUUAGGUAGUUGGUGGGGUAAUGGCCUACCAAGCCGACGAUCCAUAGCUGGUUAGAGAGGAUGAUCAGCCACACUGGGACUGAGACACGGCCCAGACUCCUACGGGAGGCAGCAGUGGGGAAUCUUAGACAAUGGGGGCAACCCUGAUCUAGCCAUGCCGCGUGAGUGAUGAAGGCCUUAGGGUUGUAAAGCUCUUUCAGCUGGGAAGAUAAUGACGGUACCAGCAGAAGAAGCCCCGGCUAACUCCGUG